rnacentral:rRNA from 1 species
GAUGAACGCUGGCGGCGUGCCUAAUACAUGCAAGUCGAGCGAACAGACGAGGAGCUUGCUCCUCUGACGUUAGCGGCGGACGGGUGAGUAACACGUGGAUAACCUACCUAUAAGACUGGGAUAACUUCGGGAAACCGGAGCUAAUACCGGAUAAUAUAUUGAACCGCAUGGUUCAAUAGUGAAAGACGGUUUUGCUGUCACUUAUAGAUGGAUCCGCGCCGCCUGGGCUAGUUGGGAAGGGAACGGCUUCCCGAGGCGGCGAUGCGUAGCCGACCUGCGAGGGGGAGCGGCCGGGCUGGAACGGAGACACGGGCCAGACGCCUACGGGAGGCAGGAGUAGGGAAUCUUCCGCAAUGGGCGAAAGCCUGACGGAGCAACGCCGCGUGAGUGAUGAAGGUCUUCGGAUCGUAAAACUCUGUUAUUAGGGAAGAACAAAUGUGUAAGUAACUAUGCACGUCUUGACGGUACCUAAUCAGAAAGCCACGGCUAACUACGUG